AAAAAACAUCACAUCAAGAGUCUCUCUCAAUCUGAAUGCCAAACUAACUCACAAGAAUGAAUGAGAGAUUGAAACUGAAACAGAACAAAACUGAAUGAUUGUCCUACUCCUAUCCAAAUCCAACACUACAAUUUUCAACCUCUAACCACAUUAUCCACGAACACAAACACAAAUACACUUCUAUUUUCUCAUCUCUGCCAAAAAAAAAAAAAAAAAUGAACUCCUUUUUAUAUUUUUUGCUUUGAUUACACACAUAUGGUGGCAUGUUGCUAUUUGUGCCGAGUGGCCAUCGCCGUCGUCGACAUGAACAUCUCUGCUCCGGCCACCGGAAUGUCAUCUUCGUCGUCAGCUAUAGUUUCUUCUCAGUUUUGGGUCUCUAACUCUAAGCCAUCUCAGUUCUGGGGUGGUGGUAGUACCAAGCUUGAGUCGCAGAGUAAGAAGGAUCGCUUGAAGAGAAAGCUUAAGUUAGUGGUCACUGCGGAGCUCUCCAAGUCUUCCUCCCUCAGUUUUGGGUUGGACUCUCAGACCUUGCAGUCUUAUGACUCGUCACCAGUGCCUUGGGCUGGUCCAGUUCCUGGGGAUAUUGCAGAGGUUGAGGCAUAUUGUAGAAUCUUUAGAACAGCUGAACGGCUUCAUGCUGCACUAAUGGACACAUUAUGCAAUCCAUUGACUGGUGAAUGUAGUGUUUCAUAUGACUUCACAUCCGAGGAAAAACCACUAUUGGAAGAUAAACUAGUCUCUGUCCUUGGUUGCAUGGUAUCCCUCCUUAACAAAGGAAGAACUGAUGUCCUUUCCGGAAGAUCCUCAAUCCAAAAUUCAUCUCGGAUUGGAGAUGUAAGCUCGGAGGAUAUGCUUCCUCCACUUGCCAUUUACAGGAGUGAGAUGAAAAGGUGUUGUGAGAGCUUCCAUGUCGCUCUUGAAAACUAUUUGAUGCCUGAUGAUAAUCGAAGCUUGGAUGUGUGGAGGAAACUUCAGAGACUGAAGAAUGUAUGCUAUGAUUCUGGUUUUUCUCGUCAGGAGGAUUAUCCAUGCCAUACACUGUUUGCGAAUUGGAAGCCCGUUUAUUUUUCGACUUCUAAAGAAGACUCAGGGCCCAAAGAUUCUGAGGUAGCUUUUUGGAUGGGUGGUCAGGUGACAGAAGAAGGCCUGAAGUGGUUAGUGAAUAAAGGGUAUAAGACUAUUGUAGAUCUUAGAGCAGAGACUGUAAAGGAUAACUUUUAUCAAGCAGCCAUAGAUAAUGCUAUUUUGUCUCAGAAAGUUGAACUGGUCAAAAUUCCUGUUGAAGUUGGGACCGCACCUACGAUGGAGCAGGUUGAGAAGUUUGCAUCUUUAGUUUCAGAUUGCAGCAAAAAGCCCAUAUAUCUUCACAGUAGGGAAGGAGUGCAGAGAACUUCUGCCAUGGUCUCCAGGUGGAGGCAGUACUUGACUCGUUCUGCAUCACAUUUUGUCUCUAGUCGGUCAGUUGCUUCCAAUGAUAUGUUAUUACGUGAUGCAAAUGAAAUGGGAAAACUUCAGGAGUCUUCCCUUUCAGAUGAAAACUCCCUUCUUAAAAGGGAGAACAAGUCAAUUCAAGAGUCUUUGGGUACAUAUCAUGGUUCAAAUGGAGUAUCCCACGAAAAAGUCUCUCCCUUCAAGGUUAAGGAACAUGAAAGCAGUAACGGGGCCUACAACGGCCUUGUUUCUCCCCAAGGUCUGACAUCAGUAGAAUUAGCUGAUAAUGGAGUAGGAUCUGAUGCAAACUUCAGCAGGGAAACUGACCCUCUGAAGGCUCAGGUUCCUCCAUGCAGUGUCUUCUCCAAAAAAGAAAUGUCUAGAUUUUUUAGGAGUAGAAAGAUCUCCCCUCCUACUUAUUUUAAUUAUCAAUUGAAAAGGUUUGAAAUACUGCCAGUUUCAAGAGAGGUGUGUAUUGGGACAAUGUGGAAAGGUGAUACGGUUGCUACUAAUACUGUACCAUUGACUCUGGAGUCAGGAAGUUCCAAUGGUUCACUUAAUGGAAAAAAUUUAUAUCCAGAGCCCCAAAAAUCACCUGCUGACAAUGGGAAGUAUUUGAUUGGUGAUAUUUUGGUUGCCACUAGUCCAGUUGUGAAUGGACUGGGCAAAGGGGAAAGGUCUUCUGUGAUGACAGAAAAUAUCUCUACGAUUGUGACUAAUAACUUUGAUGAGCAUGUAACAUCCAAAUCUGUACUGAAGGAUCAUAAGAACAAUGGUGGAGCUGCUUUAGUUUCAGCCAGUGAUGACCUGGCUACGAUUGGAGGUAAUAUGUGUGCUUCUGCAACUGGUGUUGUAAGGGUGCAGUCAAGAAGGAAAGCAGAAAUGUUUUUAGUUCGAACAGAUGGAUUUUCUUGUACCAGAGAAAAGGUGACAGAAUCAUCCUUGGCCUUCACUCAUCCUAGUACCCAGCAGCAGAUGCUUAUGUGGAAAUCGACACCAAAGACUGUAUUGUUGUUAAAGAAACUGGGGCAAGAGCUCAUGGAACAAGCUAAAGAGGUUGCCUCUUUUCUGUAUUAUGAAGAGAAAAUGAAUGUACUUGUGGAACCUGAUGUGCAUGACAUAUUUGCUAGAAUCCCAGGGUUCGGAUUUAUUCAGACCUUUUAUAGUCAAGACACCAGCGAUCUACAUGAAAGGGUUGAUUUUGUGGCUUGCUUGGGGGGAGAUGGGGUUAUACUACACGCAUCAAAUUUAUUUAGAGGUGCUGUGCCCCCUGUUGUAUCAUUUAAUCUUGGAUCUCUUGGAUUUCUGACUUCCCAUACCUUUGAUGACUAUAAACAAGACUUAAGACAAGUCAUCCAUGGAAAUAACACUGUGGAUGGUGUCUAUAUAACUCUUAGAAUGCGCCUUCGAUGUGAAAUUUUUCGAAAUGGUAAAGCAAUGCCUGGGAAAGUAUUUGAUGUCCUAAAUGAGGUCGUUGUUGAUCGGGGAUCUAAUCCAUAUCUCUCUAAAAUUGAGUGCUAUGAACAUGACAGGCUCAUAACCAAGGUGAGGUGCAAGGUGAUGGAGUCAUUGUAGCCACACCAACAGGAAGUACUGCUUACUCUACAGCCGCAGGAGGUUCCAUGGUGCAUCCAAAUGUUCCUGGCAUGCUGUUUACACCAAUCUGCCCCCACUCCCUCUCAUUUAGACCGGUUAUACUUCCAGAUUCGGCAAGGUUGGAAAUGAAGAUUCCAGAAGAUGCUAGAAGCAAUGCAUGGGUUUCUUUUGAUGGGAAGAGAAGGCAGCAACUCUCACGAGGAGAUUCUGUACGAAUAUCUAUGAGCCAGCACCCACUUCCAACAGUUAACAAGUCUGACCAGACAGGUGAUUGGUUUCACAGCUUGAUUCGCUGCCUAAAUUGGAAUGAAAGGCUAGAUCAAAAGGCCCUUUGAAGCCUCUUUCUGUCUGAGAUUGAAGUUUGUGCAAAACUACUGUACAUGUUGUAAACUGAGAUCAAAGAAAAUUUGACUUUGCAGAGUAAAUAAUACGAUUCAUUCCCACAUUUGCUUCCAUGUGAAUCCUUUUUUUUUUUUCUUCAUUUCAAUAUGACAAAAUGUACUUGUAUAAUGUCAUCUAUUACACAGCAAUAAAGAUUUAAUCUUGUAGAUCCA